GAUGAUCCCCGACAGCUGGCUGAAAUGAUUCCAGAAGGAAAACCAAAGCAAGAGUUGAAAGAUGACUUCCGACUUGAAUAUGAUUGGGUUCCGAUGGAUGAAAGAAACUUGGUGCUCAGGAACUGGAGGAUUUUAUCCGUGAAAAGGCUGCCCAUUGCUCUUGUACUUGAAAGUGUAAGCAUGUAUCACGGAUUCAGUUGUCAUGUAGUUGUAUCAAAUACGUACGUUCAAUAUCUGAGCUUGUAUUGCUGUUGCAGCUAGGAGAUAUCCCUGAUGCCGAGGUAAAGCCUCGUGACAAUGUAUUGUUCAUCUAUUUACUGAGUCCAGUGACUGACUGAGGUAGGUGCUUCAAGCACCGUGCUUGAUAUAUAAACAUUACAGCAAAAAAGCUUCAUGUGGUUGUGAUAUUUUCUUCUUUUUCUUCUUGUCUCAUGCAUGAUGAGGACCUCCAUACCAUUUUUUCACGCUUCGGAACUGUCAUGUAGAACUAUAUUUGUUCGCGUGGAAACCUCAAUUUUCUGCUUAAGUCCGAAUAUGGCAGGGUUGAUGUAAUCCGGGAUUUCAAGACAAGUACUACGCUUUUAUAGCGUGAAAACAAGGAUGCAUGUGAACAUUAAGGUAAACUGUCAACUUCAAGUGGUAACCGAUAUUGUAAAUAAUUACCAAGUUGUUGCUUUCCAGAUGGACAAUGCUCUGAUCAAUGAUAGACGAAUAAAUGAGGAUUUCAGUCAAGAGUGUAUCUAAAAUUUAGUCACAUUUCCGGCAGAAAGAUUCACAAAAGGGUGCGGUUAAAUCCUUUUUCCUCCUUAUCGAUUUUUUGUUGGCAUAGACCAAACAACUGUAGAAAUCCUUGACAACACAUGGAAGGCUGCAAGCUCAAAGUUACUUGGCGGCAAAAAUGGUUACAGCGAAUGGAUGUUUCAAAUGUGGCUUAAAGGAUCAUAUUGCCAAGGACUGUGCAGGUGGUAAUCAGUCUUCCAAGUUCAUUGUAAAUGGACGGCAAGAGAGAGAGGGAGAGAGACAGUGGAAAUGGGAGAGAUGGGAGAAGGAAUAGGUAAAUGGCAUGGACCAAUUCAUAUUAGCGAAUCCAAUCUAUUUUUGCUACUGUCAUGAAUACAAAGCUUUGGCGGGGAUGUGUCUUUUCUGACAAACUAAUUAAUGAAGUUCCAGUUCCAUUUCUUUUCA